CCCUUAGAUGUCCUGGGCUGCACGCGCGCUACACUGAUGUGUCCAGUAAGCACCUAACCUCUUCCGAAAGGAACGGGUAACCUUUGCAAAGCACAUCGUGAUGGGGAUAGAUUAUUGCAAUUAUUAGUCUUGAACGAGGAAUUCCUAGUAAGCACAAGUCAUCAGCUUGUGUUGAUUACGUCCCUGCCCUUUGUACACACCGCCCGUCGCUACUACCGAUUGAAUGGCUUAGUGAGGCCUCAGGAUCCGCGCUUAAUGUGUGGAGAAUUUGGACAAACUACGUCAUUUAGAGGAAGUAAAAGUCGUAACA
rnacentral:rRNA from 1 species